rnacentral:lncRNA from 1 species
AAAAAACUUGGGGGAUUAAGACAUUGAUUUUUUAACAUGAAACAUUACAAAGGAUUGUUUGCUAGAGUCGGGCUGCAUGCUGACUUGUCUAUCUAUAAUUCAACUUUCAUGGGUGACCCAAUCUAAACCCCUUACCCUCCGUCUUCCUCCCACAAACAUUUCUCCCUCCUACAUAUCGGAGACAAUUAUAAAGCAAAGAUUAAUAGAGUUUAUAGUCGAGUUUACAGUCAUAAAGGAUCAGAAUUUGGAUCUUUUCGACCCGAGAACAGCUGUAUUGACCCAAAAUUCUCUCCGACCUGUAUCCGGGACCCGGUUUUUGACUUCUUCCAACAGCAACAACUUCUCCGACUGUCUCCUUCAGAUCGAGAUUAUCGCCGAUCCCACCUUGAAUUGAAGUGGGGGUCGGCCAUAAUCUCGAUCUGGAGGAGACGGUCGAAGAAGAUGUUGUUGUUGAAGGUGAAGCUAAAAUUUGGAUCAGGGGUAUGGGUCAGAGUGUAUUUAGGGUCUAUAACAGCAGUACUCGGGCUGAAAUGAUGCAAGUUCAGAUCCUUCAUGAUUGCAA